GUUGUGUGUUGUCUUGAAGGGCGUAUGGUGGAUGCCUUGGCAGACAGGACCGAUGAAGGACGUGGGGGGCCGCGAUAGGCCUCGGGGAGCCGCCGACCGGGCUUUGAUCCGAGGAUUUCCGAAUGGGGGAACCCAGCCGCCGUCAUGGGCGGUUACCGCUUUUGCGGGGGGUACGCAGGGAAGUGAAACAUCUCAGUACCUGCAGGAAAGGAUAUUCCGUGAGUAGUGGCGAGCGAAAGCGGAUCAGGCCAAACCUCAUGCGUGUGAUACCCGUCGGGGGUUGCGUGUGGGGUGUUGUGGGAGCGUGUGUCCCGGUGCCGACGUGCCGGGCGAUGGUGAUAAAGACGUGUGUUAGGGGAACCGGAUUGAAUGCCGGGCCGUAGAGGGUGAGGGCCCCGUACCCGUAUGCGCAUGUCCCGUCGAUCGUGUGUCCCAAGUAGCACGGGUCCCGUGGAACCCCGUGCGAAUCCGUCUCGACCGUGAGAUAAGCCUAAAUAUUCCUGUCUGACCGAUAGUGAACUAGUACCGUGAGGGAAAGGUGAAAAGCACCCCGGGAGGGGAGUGAAACAGUCCCUGAAACCGUGCGCCUACAAACCGUCGGAGCCUUUAGGGGUGACGGCGUGCCUAUCGAAAAAUGAGUCUGCGAGUCAGUGGUGCGUGGCGAGCAUAACCCGUGUGGGGUAUGCGUAGCGAAAGCGAGUCUUAAAAGGCGUUUUAGUCGCGUGUCCUGGACCCGAAGCGGGAUGAUCUAGCCCUGAGCAGGUUGAAGCGCGGGUAAGACCGUGUGGAGGACCGAACCCACCUGGGUUGAAAACCGGGGGGAUGACUUGGGGUUAGGGGUGAAAGGCCAAUCAAAUUCCGUGAUAGCUGGUUCUCUCCGAAAUGCAUUUAGGUGCAGCGUCAGGUUAUUGCGUCCGGGGGGUAGAGCUACUGGAUGCUUGCGGGCCCGUAUCGGGUACCAAUAGCAACCAAACUCCGAAUACCCGUGACGUGUAUCCUGGCAGUGACCCGGCGGGGGAUAAGCUUCGUCGUGGAAAGGGAAACAGCCCAGACCGUCGUCUAAGGUCCCCAAGCGCGUGCUAAGUGGGAAAGGAUGUGGAGUCGCAUAGACAGCCAGGAGGUUGGCUCAGAAGCAGCCACCCUUGAAAGAGUGCGUAACAGCUCACUGGUCUAGUGGUUCCGCGCCGACAAUGUAGCGGGGCUCAAGCACGCCACCGAAGACGCGGCAAUCGCCUUUUGGCGGUUGGGUAGGAGAGCGUCCCCUGCGGGGCGAAGCGGCGGUGGAAACCGGCCGUGGACUGCAGGGGAGUGAGAAUGCAGACAUGAGUAGCGAAAGCGGGGUGAAGAUCCCCGCCGCUGGAUGACCAAGGGUUCCAGGGCCACGUUCAUCGUCCCUGGGUGAGUCGGGUCCUAAGGCGAGGCCGACAGGCGUAGUCGAAUGGAUGAACGGGUCGAUAUUCCCGUACCGGCUGGCGACCGNNNNNNNNNNNNNNNNNNNNNNNNNNNNNNNNNNNNNNNNNNNNNNNNNNNNNNNNNNNNNNNNNNNNNNNNNNNNNNNNNNNNNNNNNNNNNNNNNNNNNNNNNNNNNNNNNNNNNNNNNNNNNNNNNNNNNNNNNNNNNNNNNNNNNGUUGGGACUGUAGCGGUAGUAGGUCAGCGCAGGAGUGACACGGAAGGGUGGCCGGCUCCGGAGGUGGUUUUCCGGGGCCAAGCACGCAGCCCGUCCCCCAGGCAAAUCCGGGGGGCAUCGUGGGUGAGGUGCGAUGGGACGCGCGUUAGCGUGGAUCCGGUGAUCCCGGCCGUCGAGAAAAGCUUCGGCGUGAGGGCGUCAGUCCGCCCGUACCCCAAACCGACACUGGUGGUCAGGUAGAGAAUACCAAGGCGAUCGAGCGAAUCCUGGUCAAGGAACUCGGCAAAUCACUCCCGUUCCUUCGGUUUAAGGGAGACCCCCGAUGGUGAACCGCCUCGCGCGGGGAGCUGUUGGGGGUGGCACAGACCAGGGGGUAGCGACUGUUUACCAAAAACACAGGUGCAUGCGAAGACGCAAGUCGCUGUAUAUGCACUGACGCCUGCCCGGUGCCGGAAGGUUAAGAGGAUCCGUCAGCACUUCGGUGUGAAGCGGUGAAUUCAAGCCCCGGUAAACGGCGGUGGUAACUAUAACCAUCCUAAGGUAGCGAAAUUCCUUGUCGGGUAAGUUCCGACCUGCACGAAUGGCGUAACGACUUCCCCACUGUCUCGACCAGGAGCUCGGCGAAAUUGCAGUACGAGUAAAGAUGCUCGUUAAGCGCAGAAGGACGAAAAGACCCCGGGACCUUUACUAUACCUUGGUAUUGGCAUUCGGUGUGGAUUGUGUAGCAUAGGCGGGAGACUUCGAAGCGCCGGCGCCAGCCGGUGUGGAGUCGCAAGGUGAAAUACCGCUCUGUUCGCAUUGGAUGUCUAACCUCGACCAGUCAUCCUGGUCAGGGACAGUGCCUGGCGGGUAGUUUAACUGGGGCGGUUGCCUCCCAAAGAGUAACGGAGGCGCCCAAAGGUUCCCUCAGCCCGGUUGGCAAUCGGGUGUCGAGUGCAAGUGCACAAGGGAGCUUGACUGCGAGAGCGACGGCUCGAGCAGGGACGAAAGUCGGGACUAGUGAUCCGGUGCCGGUGUACGGACGCGGCAUCGCUCAACGGAUAAAAGGUACCCCGGGGAUAACAGGCUGAUCAUUCCCAAGAGUCCAUAUCGACGGGAUGGUUUGGCACCUCGAUGUCGGCUCGUCGCAUCCUGGGGCUGGAGCAGGUCCCAAGGGUUCGGCUGUUCGCCGAUUAAAGCGGCACGCGAGCUGGGUUCAGAACGUCGUGAGACAGUUUGGUCUCUAUCCUCUGCGCUCGUUGGAAUGUUGAGGAGGCCUGCCCAUAGUACGAGAGGACCUGGGUGGACGAACCUCUGGUAUGCCGGUUGUCGCGCCAGCGGCACGGCCGGUUGGCUACGUUCGGAAGGGAUAACCGCUGAAAGCAUCUAAGCGGGAAGCCUGCUCCAAGAUAAGCAUUCCAUGCAGCCUUCGAGCUGCUGUACCCCCCAUGUAGAACACGUGGUCGAUAGGCCGGACGUGGAAGCCCCGCGAGGGGUGGAGCUGACCGGUACUAACGGGGAAACGACAACA
rnacentral:rRNA from 1 species